GUUCACAACAUCACUUAUCGCGAGAUCUCGUCAUUCUCCUGAAGGCUGUUGAAGACAGAAGAAGGUCGUCAGCCAUUCUAGUCAGUUUCUCCUCAAAGUUUGGACAUUUUACUAGAAUACAACUUUGAUUCAGCGCAGAAUUCAGUAAUCCUGUGGAUGGACCGCAGCGAGUCCUUUUGCAGUUAUCCAUCAAAAUGCUUUGCAGACAUAAUGGAAAUGGCAUUUACAUUGUAGAGCUUGGACAAAGUUCACACAGGCUCUGUGCAGGAAUUCAUCAAGGACAUGACUGCUGGGACUACGCUUGUGGAUGACCAAUCUGAGCACCAUCAGUCUGCAGUGAUGUGGUCCAGGUAAUAGAAGAAGAAAUCUGGGUGAUCUGGGGUUGUAAC